rnacentral:rRNA from 1 species
AGUUUGAUCAUGGCUCAGGAUGAACGCUAGCGGGAGGCCUAACACAUGCAAGCCGAGCGGUAGAGAUUCUUCGGAAUCUUGAGAGCGGCGUACGGGUGCGGAACACGUGUGCAACCUACCUUUAUCUGGAGGAUAGCCUUUCGAAAGGAAGAUUAAUACUCCAUAAUAUAUUGAUUGGCAUCAAUUGAUAUUGAAAGCUCCGGCGGAUAGAGAUGGGCACGCGCAAGAUUAGUUAGUUGGUGAGGUAACGGCUCACCAAGACGAUGAUCUUUAGGGGCCUGAGAGGGUGAUCCCCCACACUGGUACUGAGACACGGACCAGACUCCUACGGGAGGCAGCAGUGAGGAAUAUUGGUCAAUGGGUGCAAGCCUGAACCAGCCAUCCCGCGUGAAGGACGACUGCCCUAUGGGUUGUAAACUUCUUUUGUAUAGGGAUAAACCUACCCUCGUGAGGGUAGCUGAAGGUACUAUACGAAUAAGCACCGGCUAACUCCGUG